CAGCAUCAGGGUUGCAUCUGGAGCGGAUGAUGUGCCUCCACCGGUCUCUGUCCAUCAAAAAUAUCUGAAACAUCAAAUAUAAAAUACCGGUCGUGAAACAGCAGUUACCACUAAAACUGGCGAGUGGUAAGAGCCAGCAGCCGCCCCCCGGCUACCAUCGCUUGCACGAGUCGCCGAGCGAAGACGCGGAGUAUCCAAAUGUAUUUUAACACGAAAAAAUAUAUUUAUAUCAAAGUCAAGGCCUUGUAAUCCACCACACUCGUACCGGAAGCUCCCCUGCGCCGCUCCCAUCGCAGCAACAGUUUAACAACAACAAGGCCACUAGGACAAACACUUACCCCAAGCUACCGGACAAGUUCCGCAUCCGGCCGGCAGACACGCCCACGCACGCGGCCACGCCCCACGCCUCCCCCGCCCCCGAGGAGGAGGUCAUCUACUUCUGACACGACGCGCCCUCCUGAGACUGUCUUAUCGCUUAACCCCAUAAGCCACUCCCUACUCCUCACUCCUCCCCACUUCCCCCACUGUCCUCCACACUCAUUUCUCCCCUCUCCUUACUCCUCAAUAAUUCAACUCGUCAACCACAUCAAGCAAUUUAUCUUAUGGUACUUUUUUCUAUAUGUAGAAUAAGUAUCACAAGUUAAGUACAUUGUGUAUAGGCAUUUAAAUGUAGUGAACCCCCCCCCCCCCCCCCUAGACCAGUACCAGUCUUGAUUUAUAUAGAAUACUCUCUACUUUUGUAGUUACGUUAAUGUUCGUUAAUGACUAGUUGAAUUAAAUAAUAACAUUUUCUUAUUUAAAUCUAUCUUAAUACACACAAUAGAUUAAUUAUUCGAAAUUAUGUUCAAGUAUUAUAUAAAUAUAUUGUAUAGUGUAAUAAUGUAACUUUUUAGUCAACGGUGUGAAUUAAACAUGACGAAAGUUUUUAAAUUAAGUAAUUGUUUUAGUCGAAAUUAACAAAAAUAAUUACUAUGGCAAAACUAUGGUGAUAUUAGCGAAUCACUCAUAACAGUUAUAUCAAAUAGUAACAAUAUAAAUUAAUUGAUAUAUGAUAAAGAAGUGUAAUGAUUGAACUGUGCGGUCCUCGUAUAAUACAGCAAAAAAUUCCCCGUAAAGAACUUAUUCAUGAUACUUAUACACGAUAUAUUUGUAUAUCUUCUCCUAACAAACACGGUUCCUAGCGUACUAAGCAGCUAUAUAUCUAUUUUUUUUAAAUAAUGUCUUUCAUCAAUGAUAAAAAACGGUAUAAUCCUAGUCAAAUCCGUGAAAACAGUCGAAAUAUUCACAUAAACAUACCAUAUCAAGGUAUCUCAGUAAAGUUUUGUACUCGAAACUAUUUAAACUACAUAUUAUUUUUGUAAGACACAAAAUGGAUUAAACAGGUCAAAAUAUACUACUAACUAAUUCUACAUAAAUAUUGUUACAAUGUGUAUUGUAUAUAUCUUGUUGAGUAGUUAAAUGACUUGCAUUUUGAAAUUGAAUGUAUGGCGCUAAAUGAAAUUGAAAUUUAAAUCAUGUAUUUGUAUAUUUGAUCUUGAUAAGUUAUAAAAAAAGUCUAUUGAAAUCUUUUCUGACGGCUAAUUUUUUUUGUUUUUUUUUUUUUAAAUUGUAUUACCGACUUGCGUUUUCAAAUAGAAAAAGAAAAAUCGUUAAGAUUGCAAGUAAAUAACAUUGAAUAGUGGCCAAUAUGUAUAUAAGUUAAAAAAUAAUGUAAUUCUUUGUCAUUAUUUCAAAAUUUUAUUUGAAUAUUUAUCAAGAACACAUGUCUUCUGUAAAUAUAAAAUUUAAUUCCUG
rnacentral:misc_RNA from 1 species